rnacentral:tRNA from 1 species
GAUAGUUCAACUGGUAGAAAGAGCGGCUGUUAACCGCUAAGUUGUAGGUUCGAGUCCUACUCGAGGA